CCAUACUUUUCUGAUUAUGAACCGGCUUUUCCAUUUCAUACCAAUACUACCGAUCAAGUGAUUCUAGAAGUUGCAAACGAGUCUGGCGAAAGGUAAAAUAGCCUCCGGUGAAUAUUUACUAGGCAAGUUUGUGACUAUCUUUCUCGGGUUCACCCAGUUACAUAUCCGAAUUACUUAGAUACAACCCGUGAGGUUGAGGAUGGAAGUUAUUCAUUUACCGUUCACACCCUAAAGCCACAGAUUCAACAAAGUGAUUGUAUGCAAGAACCCUUGUGGGUGGUGAACGAUGGAUACCCAAGGUAUUUAGAGAGCGAAGCAUCUUUGGGUGAUCGCACUGUCAAAACAUGCGGCCACCAGGGAUGCGCAACGAAACAUGAUCUAGCAGAAAUUUACUGUCAGUUCAGCAGGUGAAAGCCGUAAAUAUGGAAAUGGCAAUAUAUGAUUGUAUACAGGGAUAUUUGUGAUGAUGAUAAAGAUCGCAUCUCCUUGUUUCCUGAGAUGCUCGACUAUCCGGGUACUUUCGAGUGCAUUUGAUUCAUUGUUGGACAACAAAAGAGUGCGGCAAGGAACCAAAUCCAAUCACACCAGGCAGUCAGGGUAGUUAAUUCUACAUGGCUUGCUUGGGGAUGAAGAAAAAAUAUCCUCUUCGCCAUCCUUUGGACCUCGCAACAG
rnacentral:sRNA from 1 species